UACGGGGGGGGCAAGCGUUGUUCGGAAUUACUGGGCGUAAAGGGCUCGUAGGUGGCCAACUAAGUCAGACGUGAAAUCCCUCGGCUUAACCGGGGAACUGCGUCUGAUACUGGAUGGCUUGGAUCCGGGAGAGGGAUGCGGAAUUCCAGGUGUAGCGGUGAAAUGCGUAGAUAUCUGGAGGAACACCGGUGGCGAAGGCGGCAUCCUGGACCGGUAUUGACGCUGAGGAGCGAAAGCCAGGGGAGCAAACGGG
rnacentral:rRNA from 1 species